AGAGUUUGAUCCUGGCUCAGGAUGAACGCUGACAGAAUGCUUAACACAUGCAAGUCUUUGGCGAAGCUGUGCUUGCACAGCCUAGCCAAGGCGGACGGGUGAGUAACGCGUAAGGGACUUGCCCUGCAGUCAGGGAUAACAGACGGAAACGACUGAUAAAACCUGGUAAAGUCAGGCGGACUCAUGUCCAGCCUGAUGAAAAGGAAUGCUGCAGGAGAGCCUUGCGUCCUAUUAGCUUGUUGGUGGGGUAACGGCCCACCAAGGCGAUGAUAGGUAGCCGGCCUGAGAGGGUGGACGGCCACAAGGGGACUGAGAUACGGCCCUUACCCCUACGGGAGGCAGCAGUGGGGAAUAUUGGACAAUGGGGGCAACCCUGAUCCAGCAAUUCUGUGUGCACGAUGAAGGUCUUCGGAUUGUAAAGUGCUUUCAGCAGGGAAGAAAAAAAUGACG
rnacentral:rRNA from 1 species